AUUGAACGCUGGCGGCAGGCCUAACACAUGCAAGUCGAGCGGAUGAAGGGAGCUUGCUCCUGGAUUCAGCGGCGGACGGGUGAGUAAUGCCUAGGAAUCUGCCUUGUAGUGGGGGAUAACGUCCGGAAACGGGCGCUAAUACCGCAUACGUCCUGAGGGAGAAAGUGGGGGAUCUUCGGACCUCACGCUAUCUGAUGAGCCUAGGUCGGAUUAGCUAGUUGGUGGGGUAAAGGCCUACCAAGGCGACGAUCGGUAACUGGUCUGAGAGGAUGAUCAGUCACACUGGAACUGAGACACGGUCCAGACUCCUACGGGAGGCAGCAGUGGGGAAUAUUGGACAAUGGGCGAAAGCCUGAUCCAGCCAUGCCGCGUGUGUGAAGAAGGUCUUCGGAUUGUAAAGCACUUUAAGUUGGGAGGAAGGGCAGUAAGUUAAUACCUUGCUGUUUUGACGUUACCAACAGAAUAAGCACCGGCUAACUUCGUG
rnacentral:rRNA from 1 species